CGGUUCCACGGAACCGGA
rnacentral:snRNA from 1 species